AAAAAACCCCCUGUUUUUACGUUAUGGACAAAAGAAGAUGGUGUUUAGGGCUUUGCAGCAAGAAAUAAAUAAUUGAGCGUCGUAGAUGUGUAAUGUUCAGACUUUGAACGCCAGGUAUGAUGACAAAAUUUGUGUAAAAGCCAAUAGUCGAUGUAUACCGAGACCAGAAAUGAUGCUAAGACAGAGGCAGAUACAGUGCGGGAAGUCAUGUGACAGAUGGCUUUGACGCAGAAUGUUAUUGUGGUGGCUUGGUCCAAGUUAUGUAUUCUGACAUAAAUGGUAAAGCAGAGGCAGACAGCUAGUGUGUGGCAUUCAUGUAAAUUGCUUUACUAGAAGCCUUGCACAGACAGAAAUAAAGCAAA